AGAUCCGUUAGCUCUAAAUGGAAGAGCGCUCAAGUCUGUUCCUGGUUUGAGAGGCUGGUGGUUCGAAUCCACUCGGAUCUA